UACAGAGGGUGCAAGCGUUAAUCGGAAUUACUGGGCGUAAAGCGCGCGUAGGUGGUUUGUUAAGUCUGAUGUGAAAGCCCUGGGCUCAACCUGGGAAUUGCAUUGGAUACUGGCAGGCUAGAGUGCGGUAGAGGAUGGCGGAAUUCCCGGUGUAGCAGUGAAAUGCGUAGAGAUCGGGAGGAACAUCUGUGGCGAAGGCGGCCAUCUGGACCAGCACUGACACUGAGGCACGAAAGCGUGGGGAGCAAACAGG
rnacentral:rRNA from 1 species